rnacentral:lncRNA from 1 species
GCUUAGCCUAUUUAAUGUCAGUCCUUUCUGCCUUCAGCUGAGAUCACCUCUGCUGAGGGCUUCCCUUUCUGCUGUUUACUUUUUUCCUUCAGAAAGGCAUGUCAGUGCCAGAGGGUCUCUAAAACAGAAUAGCCGAUUAUGCAUCAUCUCUGGAGACGACUCAUGAAAAAUUUCAGCUGGGAUUCUGUAACGUCAACAAAACCAUACUUGAAAAAUUGUUUCAGGGAGAAGAUUGAUGCUUCUUUGGAAAAAAAAACCCAAAACAUUAUGAACCUGACCCAGUCUUUUUGCCCUGAAUUAUGCAUGGAAUCACCAUAAUUGCAAGUAUCAGUCAAUGCCUACAGAAAAAUGCAAGGCUAGGGAAGUAAUGGCUUUAGGUAAAUAUACAUUUAGUCAUAUGAUGGCUAUGAUAACUGUGUGUGCAUUUUGUAUGCACAGUUAGUUGAAUGUUAUGUUGGCUUUUACAGCUGAAUUCAGUGCAGUGCUGUGUAGCACAAUAAUUUUGUUUUUCUUCUAGGAUUGUCCUAAAAGGAAACUGUCUCUUCUAUUUUGGCCUGAUGUUUUUAGACACAUUUAAUCUCAGAGAAUCAGAGAUAACCAGAACCUUAAGAAACUUCCCUUUAGUCUCCCCCUACCCCUCCACCCCUCCCUCCUAAAUAGACUUACACGAUUCCUGACAGAUAUUUACCCAGUUCUUCAAAAUCUUCAGCAAGAGAAUCAUAGAAUCACAGAAUAUCUCGAGUUGGAAGUGACCGAUAAGAAUCAUCGAGUCCAACUCCUGGCACCACACGGGUCUACACAAAAAUUCAGACCAAGUUCCACAACUUGUUAAUAUACCAAUUGCCUCAAAGCCUUAUUGGAGGCUUCCUGAAUGCUGACUUACAUGUAUAUUUAUUCUGAAAACAAACAAACAAACAAAAACAUUUCACAUAUGUUUCUUAUAUUUAUGUCAAGGAGCUGAAGGAAAAGAUAAUUGUUUCUUCACUGUAAUAGCUUCUAGGGAUUUCAGUUUAGCAACUCCCUUUUUGGACACCACAUUUAGAAGCCUGAUGUGAGGUAUUCCUGGCUAUGUUUAGCCUACUAAUUGAGAUGGAGGAUGGAAUUGAUUGAUAGAGGACUGUUCAGCACAAACAGCUCUCCAUUGAGGGGUGCUACAGGUGCUUACUGCCUCUGAUUUUUGAAUUCAAAGCCUUCUGAUAUAUGCUCAUUAGAAGAUUGCUAAAAUGAAAGGAGUGCCUCUGCAGUGCUCCCUUUGUGCUGAAAUUGCCAGCUGAUUACAGAUGGCUCUACCAGCAGAUGAAAUUUUAGUUUAGAGCAAUGUGCUGGUGAGGGGGAACAUGUUGGAGUUUGUCUGAUCUCAGGGUGCGUUGUGAGAGCUCAGUGGGAGUGGAAAGGGCAGUGACAGGGUGGGAAGGUGGGCUUGGACAAUAGCACUCUCAGGUGAGAUGUGCUCUCGCUGGCUACACUACAGCAACCUGGCAGAGCAGAGUCAAAACCAGUGCUAGGAAGUAGCUCUAGAACUGCAAUAAAGGAUCAUUGAAUACUUGUAUAGGAUGGGUA